rnacentral:rRNA from 1 species
CCUACGGGAGGCAGCAGUGAGGAAUAUUGGUCAAUGGACGAGAGUCUGAACCAGCCAAGUAGCGUGAAGGAUGACUGCCCUAUGGUUUGUAAACUUCUUUUAUAAAGGAAUAAAACUAGGCACGUGUGCCUUUUUGCAUGUACUCUAUGAAUAAGGAUCGGCUAACUCCGUGCCAGCAGCCGCGGUAAUACGGAGGAGGCAAGCGUUGUCCGGAUUUAUUGGGUUUAAAGGGAGCGUAGGUGGUUAUGAAAGUUGACUGUUUAAGGUGCGGGCUCAACCUGUACAUUCGGUUGAAACUGGAAGUCUUGAGUGGGGUUGAGGUAGGCGGAAUUCGUGGUGUAGCGGUGAAAUGCGUAGAUAUUAGGAAGAACACCAGUGGCGAAGGCAGCUUACUGGGCUUUAACUGACGCUGAGGCUCGAAAGCGUGGGUAGCAAACAGGAUUAGAUACCCCUGUAGUC